GACGUAGGGUGCAAGCGUUGUCCGGAUUUACUGGGCGUAAAGAGCGCGUAGGCGGUCUUGUAAGUGUGAAGUGAAAUCUCCAGGGCUCAACCCGGAAACUGCUUUGCAUACUGCAGGACUAGAGGGAUGCAGAGGUUUGUGGAAUUCCUGGUGUAGCGGUGAAAUGCGUUGAUAUCAGGAGGAACACCCAUGGCGAAGGCAGCAAACUGGGCAUCAUCUGACGCUGAGGCGCGAAAGCGUGGGUAGCAAACAGG
rnacentral:rRNA from 1 species